UGGGGAAUUUUGGACAAUGGGCGAAAGCCUGAUCCAGCAAUGCCGCGUGUGUGAAGAAGGCCUUCGGGUUGUAAAGCACUUUUGUCCGGAAAGAAAUCCUUGGCUCUAAUACAGUCGGGGGAUGACGGUACCGGAAGAAUAAGCACCGGCUAACUACGUGCCAGCAGCCGCGGUAAUACGUAGGGUGCAAGCGUUAAUCGGAAUUACUGGGCGUAAAGCGUGCGCAGGCGGUUUGCUAAGACCGAUGUGAAAUCCCCGGGCUCAACCUGGGGAACUGCAUUGGUGACUGGCAGGCUAGAGUAUGGCAGAGGGGGGUAGAAUUCCACGUGUAGCAGUGAAAUGCGUAGAGAUGUGGAGGAAUACCGAUGGCGAAGGCAGCCCCCUGGGCCAAUACUGACGCUCAUGCACGAAAGCGUGGGGAGCAAAAC
rnacentral:rRNA from 1 species